rnacentral:rRNA from 1 species
UACGGGGGGGGCAAGCGUUGUUCGGAAUUACUGGGCGUAAAGCGCACGUAGGUGGCGACGUAAGUCGGGUGUGAAAGCCCUCAGCUCAACUGAGGAAGUGCGCCCGAAACUGCAGAGCUUGAGUACCGGAGAGGAUGGCGGAAUUCCCCAAGUAGAGGUGAAAAUUCGUAGAUAUUGGGAAGAACACCGAUGGCGAAGGCAGCCAUCUGGACCGACACUGACGCUGAGGCGCGAAAGCGUGGGGAGCAAACAGG